rnacentral:pre_miRNA from 1 species
AGUGUUGUUGAUGUCCAUGGAAUAUCGGCACCCAUCCAGUUAAAACCUUCAACGAUCCACUCGUGCAGCUAUGGGUCCCUAGACUAGCACCAGUGGGUGAUUGUGUCAGGAGGUGUGUGAUGGUGGUCGGUGUUUCGUGGACACCAACAAUGCAA